rnacentral:rRNA from 1 species
UACGUAGGGGGCGGGCGUUGUCCGGAUUUAUUGGGCGUAAAGAGCUCGUAGGCGGCUAAGCAAGUCGGGUGGGAAAUCUCCAGGCUCAACCUGGAGCCUUCGCCCGAUACUGCUUUGGCUUGAGUCCGGUAGGGGAGUGUGGAAUUCCCGGUGUAGCGGUGAAAUGCGCAGAUAUCGGGAGGAACACCGGCGGCGAAGGCGGCACUCUGGGCCGGUACUGACGCUGAGGAGCGAAAGCGUGGGGAGCAAACAGG